rnacentral:misc_RNA from 1 species
GGGAAAAUGGCAACGCAAAAUGAGUCCCGCUUGCUGUUUUGCGGCUACGGACGAAUAACAAACAUUCAGGAGUACUUCAAACGAAGUAGUUUGCUUCGUGGUGGCGACUUAUACGCCGCUAAUCACGUUUACUGCGUAAGAGAAGAAUUGCACAGUGUCGUCGGUCCGUCGGAAAUCAUGGGAAAAUGCAUCGCACAAAUGAAGAGCGUGGAGUACGACGUGCGUUUAGAGUUAUCAGCGCACGAAAGAAAAAUUGUGAAAGCUUAUUGCACGUGCAAGGCUGGAUGUCGUGGCUGGUGCAAGCACGGCGCGGCACUGGCCCUGUAUGUCAACUACCACCAACACACGUCGUGUACGGACCUGCCGUGUGCUUGGCGAAAGCCAUCGACCCGUCCAACGCUUGACACAAAGAAGUCCAUCAGUGAACUAUUCCCGAGUGGUCCCAUCAUAAAGCCAAUCCUGAAGCCCCUCAGCCCGACAGUCGUGCACAGCCAGUUUCCCGACGUGAACUGCGCGUUCAGGCAUGUCAUAAAUUUUGAAGAGAGUUGCGCGAUUGAGGCACCUGAUGCUGUUGUCGCCGUUGCUGCCAAGCAAACUGACGAGUCGCACUGCGACCUCGUAAAAAAAAUAUUUGAUAAUGAGCGGCAGCUUCACCAUAGCUUUGAAGUUUCAAGCACAUUACCCCUGAGGCUCAAAAAAAGUGACAUGUUGUCCACGCUCUCAGCAAAGGAGAAAUGCUGUUAUGAUUGUGCGAUAAGCAAAAGCAUGGAUGAGGUUGUAGAAAUUGCUUUAGCAACAAGGCGGCAAGCAUCAGUGACAAGGUUUGUUGCUAUAUUAUACCUAGUGUAUCCACUUGUGUUUCUUGUGUUUCCUCUUAUUGAUGAGCAUACCUUAUCACAGAUGGCACACAGAACGCCGUCUGCGAAUCAGUAGCAGCAGUGCACACCGCGUCAAAACCAGGUGCAACAACUAUGAGACUCUGGCAAGUUCCCUUGCGAGGCGAAGGUUCUUUUCAUCUGCUGCAACUUCUUAUGGAAAACAAAUGGAAAAUGAAGCAAGAGCAGAGCUGUCCACAGCACUUGGCACUGUCAUCCACGAAGUAAAGAUGCAUGCAUACUUUGAAAGAGAGCUUGAAACUUAUGCUACUCUUUUGAUUUGCAGGUUGGCCUUUUCAUCCACCCGGAGCAACCCUGGCUAUGCUGCAGCCCAGAUGGCAUUCUGGAUUCAGAUGGAAGAAUGUGUCUGAUCGAGAUAAAGUGCCCAUUUUCUCUAAAGGAUAUGAAACUCAUCGACCAUGAACACGAAGAAAGCUUCGUGCCAUACAUUCACUAUGUGAAUGGCCAACUUCGGCUGAAGAAAACGCACCAGUAUUAUUCUCAGAUGAUGCUUAUGCUGUACAUUUUAG